rnacentral:ncRNA from 1 species
GGGCAAGGAUUAACUAACAUAAGCGACCAGGGAUCCUUUGAACUCCAAACCUCACAACGGGGAUACUGUUCAUCUCACAUGUUAAUUUGAGCUGUGAUGACAAGGGUCAAGAAGCUGAGCCUUGAAUCCUUGCUCAAGUCCUUUCGGCCUUCUUUAUAGACUGAUUCGCUGUAGGCGUUGCGGCGUGCAUACCGGCCUCCCUCCAAGCAUUUGUGAUGCAGUGCUGCACAAAUUGUUGUAUUAACCCUGGCCUCGCCAGAAUCACAGCUGCUAUGUCUGUUAUAGGCUGCAUGGUUUUGCCAGCAUCGGAAAGGGCGUUUCUUCAUUGACCUUUUCUUCGUACAGAUUUCAAUGCUGAUUUAUUCGUUUUGGCGGAAUGUUGCAAAAAGAUACUGGGUUGAGAGUCGGUGUGCAACCUAGCAGCUUUCUAGGGAAUGCCUAGUAGGCACAAGUCAUCAGCUUGUGCCGAUUACGUCCCUGCCCUUUGUACACACCGCCCGUCGCUACUACCGAUUGAAUGGCUCAGUGAGGCCUUCGGACUGGCUUAGGGAGGUUGGCAACGACCACCCCGAGCCGGAAAGUUGGUCAAACUUGGUCAUUUAGAGGAAGUAAAAGUCGUAACAAGGUUUCCGUAGGUGAACCUGCGGAAGGAUCAUUA